rnacentral:rRNA from 1 species
AUGUCCAGCACGCCGAGCACUAGCGGCUUCCUUGAAGAGGCUUUGGAGGCGGACCUCGUCCGCGCGGACGGCCGCAGAGCGGAGGAUGAUGCCCGCAGAGAGCCGUUGGGGAGGUGGCGUGCAGAGAGGACGUCGGGCCGGUUGGGGAAAACGGCGGCGCGCAACAAGGCUGCAAGCAGCGGCGCCACCACGCAUAGCUCGAGUGCUGGUGGCGGCGUGCAUCACUACAUCAAGAAACCAGCACGACGGCGCAAGAAACGGGGCGGCGGCGCGCCGUGCGGGAGCGCAAGCAGCGGCGUGCAUCACUGGAGCGAGCAGAGGCGAGCCGCGGCAGCAGGAGACGAACCGCAGGGACGAGGCGCGGCCCACUCGACCGGCCAGCUCCGUCGCCGACUGCCGCAUCAGCCGCGCGACUCUACCCAUGCCCUGUGCUCCCCGGCGACGAGCCCCAUGCCGCGUGUUGCUGCUCUGCUUGGGCAGCCCAAAUCGGGAGCGGUGGCUGAUUGCGUUUUCUUCUUUUGUUUCAGGGGUGUGCAUGUUAAUUUUUUGCCAUGUCAGAUCCUUACAAUGAGGCCCCAUUUGUCAAAAAGCGAUCAAACGUACCAAAUUACCCGAUUAGUGCUUUUGUAA